rnacentral:rRNA from 1 species
GAGGGCUUAACUGUCUCCUGUAGCCAAUCAAUGAAAUUGAUCUCACAGUACAAAUGCUGUGAUACAACUAUAAGACGAGAAGACCCUGUGGAGCUUUAACCCUAUCACAUUAACUAAUUAACCUCAACUACUAUUAGUAUAACGUGAAGUUUAAGUUGGGGCGACUAUGGAGUAAAAAUUAACCUCCAUAUAAUACGAUUAAACCUCGUUACAUACGGCUAACAAGCCUAGUCAAAACACACGACCCAGUCAAACUGAUUAUCGAACCAAGUUACCCCAGGGAUAACAGCGCCAUCCCCUUAAAGAGUUCACAUCG